GAUGAAGAACGCAGCGAAAUGCGAUACGUAAUGUGAAUUGCAGAAUUCAGUGAAUCAUCGAGUCUUUGAACGCACAUUUCGCCCCCUGUUAUUCCGGGGGGCAUGCCUGUCCGAGCGUCAUUGCUGCCCUCAAGCACGGCUUGUGUGUUGGGCCUCCGUCCUCCUCCCGGGGGACGGGCCCGAAAGGCAGCGGCGGCACCGCGUCCGGUCCUCGAGCGUAUGGGGCUUCGUCACCCGCUCUUGUAGGCCCGGCCGGCGCUUGCCGACACAUCAAUCUUUUUUCCAGGUUGACCUCGGAUCAGGUAGGGAUACCCGCUGAACUUAAGCAUAUCAAUAAGCGGAGGA
rnacentral:misc_RNA from 1 species